UGGUGCGGUCAUACCAGCGCUAGUACACCGGAUCCCAUCAGAACUCCGCAGUUAAGCGCGCUUGGGCCAGAACAGUACUGGGAUGGGUGACCU
rnacentral:rRNA from 1 species